rnacentral:rRNA from 1 species
GACGAACGCUGGCGGCGUGCUUAACACAUGCAAGUCGAACGGUAAGGCCCUUCGGGGUACACGAGUGGCGAACGGGUGAGUAACACGUGGGUGAUCUGCCCUGCACUUCGGGAUAAGCCUGGGCAACUGGGUCUAAUACCGGAUAGGACCACUGCCCGCAUGGGUGGUGGUGGAAAGCUUUUGCGGUGUGGGAUGGGCCCGCGGCCUAUCAGCUUGUUGGUGGGGUGAUGGCCUACCAAGGCGACGACGGGUAGCCGGCCUGAGAGGGUGACCGGCCACACUGGGACUGAGAUACGGCCCAGACUCCUACGGGAGGCAGCAGUGGGGAAUAUUGCACAAUGGGCGCAAGCCUGAUGCAGCGACGCCGCGUGAGGGAUGACGGCCUUCGGGUUGUAAACCUCUUUCAGCACCGACGAAGCGCAAGUGACGGUAGGUGCAGAAGAAGGACCGGCCAACUACGUGCCAGCAGCCGCAGUAA